UUUUUUCUUACUAAAAACUUUUAACUCCUAGGUUAGGUCACAUUCCUUUUUCAUUUAAAGCAAUGUGUCCUCAUUUGGUCUGGAAAUGUCAACGAGAGCCUGAAUGAUGGAUGGAGGAGCUUAGGAGAGGCUCAGGGCCCUGCCAGUGCUCCCCUGUGUUCUAGGGGAAAACAGCCACUCCUGACCUCAACUUUGUCAUCUUGCUUGCUCCUCAUCAUAGUGCAGAAGAGCAAAGUGGAAUUUCAAAAUGAAUGAAGGUGACACUCCCCGAGAUGGGGCAGAACCAGCCAAUCUAAGGCAGUGGGGCAACUCUAGAUCAGCCAGAGGAGCUGUGCACUCACCGUCUCCGGUGGGUAAAAGCCAGCGACAUCUGACGUUUUCUACCAAAAUGGUUUCUCAAGAUCAACUUC
rnacentral:lncRNA from 1 species